rnacentral:rRNA from 1 species
AACGAACGCUGGCGGCAGGCUUAACACAUGCAAGUCGAACGAUAGCCUCCGGGUGAGCGUGGCUCACGGGUGCGUAACGCGGGGGAAUCUGCCGUUAGGCUCGGAAUAACAGCUGGAAACGGCUGCUAAUACCGGAGGAUGUCGCGAGAUUAAAGAUUUAUCGCCUGAGGAUGAGUCCGCGUUGGAUUAGGUAGUUGGUGGGGUAGAGGCAUACCAAGCCGACGAUCCAUAUCUGGUCUGAGAGGAUGAUCAGCCACACUGGGACUGAGACACGGACCAGACUCCUACGGGAGGCAGCAGUGGGGAAUAUUGGACAGCGGGGGCAAGCCUGAUCAAGCAAUGCCGCGUGAGUGAUGAAGGCCGUAGAGUUGUAAAGCGCUUUUAACCGGGAAGAUAAUGACUGUACCGGAAGAAUAAGCCCCGGCUAACUCCGUG